GUGAGAGUGCUAUGAUGUGUGUGAGAGUGCUGCGUGUGAUGUGUGUGAGAGUGCUAUGAUGUGUGAGAGUGCUGCGCUGUGUGUGAGAGUGCUGUGUGUGAGAGUGUUGUGUGUUGUGAGUGCUGGGUGUGAUAGUGCUGUGUGUGAUGUGUGUGAGAGUGCUGAGUGUGAAAGUGCUGUGUGUGAGAGUGCUAUGAUGUGUGUGAGAGUGCUGUGUGUGAAAGUGCUAUGAUGUGUGUGAAAGUGCUGCGUGUGAUGUGUGUGAGAGUGCUGCGUGUGAUGUGUGUGAGAGUGCUGAGUGUGAAAGUGCUGUGUGUGAGAGUGCUAUGAUGUGUGUGAGAGUGCUGUGUGUGAAAGUGCUAUGAUGUGUGUGAAAGUGCUAUGAUGUGUGUGAGAGUGCUAUGAUGUGUGUGAGAGUGCUGCGUGUGAUGUGUGUGAGAGUGCUGAGUGUGAGAGUGCUAUGAUGUGUGUGAGAGUGCUGAGUGUGAGAGUGCUG